AAACAGCACGGUGGGAUGGGACGCUCACCUGAGUGAACCCAGCGGCCUCCAGGCUGCUCCCGCCAACAUCCACAGGCCAGUUCAGCCCACGCAGGCCGCGCGCUUUGCCUGCGCCCCGGAGCAAGGAGGGACACAGUCACAGCGGGGGCUCAGAUGACAUGGCCUCCACCCGCCCUGAUGGUUAGCUGAUAACCGGCACCUCUCGGUGGCGGACCGGCAGCUACUCUGGGAUCCUGACCGUGGCUCUGAGCCAGGGACGCACCCCAGGUAUCUCACGAAAAAUCAAAAUAACACAGAGAUGGAGAAUCUGUAACAAAAGCACCAUUGUUGAAGGCUGUUCCAUAAAGUACAGUGAAUGAAGCAGAAGAUCACCAUGGAGUUGCAUGUCGCUUGCUCAUGGAAACUGGUCUGACAGAGCAGCACUCCAUCCUCAGACACGGGUCUCAUGAAGAACCAGGGCGGCGUGUGGAGCAAGGUGGAUGAGCACAUGCCUCGCACGAUACUAAGCACUGGCGAAGAGAAAGGAGGAGUAAGACUCAGACUUGGGGACCGCUGGAGAAAGAGAAGUGUGAACAAACCAUUACAAUGCAAUGCCAUACAUGCGAGCAAAGAUCUUGGAGCAAGUGUUUGAGUCGAAGCUUCUGACUUAUCCUUGGAAAGACUUCACAGGAGAAGCAGUGUCCCACCUAGCUCUUCAAGGAAGAGGAAAGGCCAGGUGUGUGAAGGAGCGAUUUACACACUUUCCACCUCUGGCUCUUCAUGAUCUCUUGCAAAGUAGGCAGGGCAGUUGCUGUGUCUCUACUUCCCAGGAAGAACCGGGAGCAGAACACGUCAGAACAUGUUGUGCAGGAGCUCCUGGCUCUAAAGAGAAGUGAAGUGGGCCCCAAACUCAAGCUCUGAAUCCUAAUCCAGUGCUCUUUCUACCCUCUUUCUACCGUGCCUCCUGGUUUCCCUAAGUAACGUGGAUGACCAUGAGUUCAGCCCCGGAGGGGGUCAGGUGUUUCUUAUUUUCUCAGCUAAAAUGAGUAGAGCAACCCAAUUCAUUUAAUUUAUUGCAUUUUCCCCUUCCAUUUUUCAUAAUUCCUUCAUUUAUGAGGCCAGAGUUCUCAGUAAUUCCCCUUCCUGGAAUCUUCCCUAAGGAAAUAAUCAGAGAGGUGGACAUAAAUUUAUGUACAAAAACUCGCCUAGGAGAACUAUUUAUAAUAACAGAAAAUAGGAAGCAACCUAAAUUUCCAACAAAAACAGACUAGUGGGCAGGCGCUAAACAUCUUUCCAGGCAUUUUAAUGGCAUUUUUUAAAUGCUUACAAUUAAUGUUAUUAUUUUUUUUAACAAAAGGACAGGAUAAAAACCCAUGAUUCCAAUUUUGUUGGGUAUACAUGCCAAUAUAUGCAGAGGAAAAAGAAAGGCUUUCAGCAAGAUGCUCACAGUGGCCAUCUUGGCGCUAUUUGUUUGUAUUGUUUAUGUUUUUCACAGUGUGCAUUUUACCAUCAGAAAAAUAAAUAUAAAUAAAGAUUGUUGAGUAAACUACAAAAGUCAUCAA